GAUGAACGCUAGCGACAGGCUUAACACAUGCAAGUCGAGGGGCAGCGGGGUUGUAGCAAUACAACUGCCGGCGACCGGCGCACGGGUGAGUAACACGUAUGUAACCUGCCCUCUGCAGGGGGAUAAGCGGAAGAAAUUCCGUCUAAUACCGCAUAAUACAAUUUGGAGACAUCUCCGGGUUGUCAAAGGAGUGAUCCGGCAGAGGAUGGACAUGCGGCGCAUUAGCUAGUCGGCGGGGUAACGGCCCACCGAGGCUACGAUGCGUAGGGGUUCUGAGAGGAAGGUCCCCCACACUGGUACUGAGACACGGACCAGACUCCUACGGGAGGCAGCAGUGAGGAAUAUUGGUCAAUGGGCGGAAGCCAGAACCAGCCAAGUCGCGUGAGGGAAGACGGUCCUAUGGAUUGUAAACCUCUUUUGCAGGGGAGCAAGGCGCGGUACGUGUACCGCGAAGGAGAGUACCCUGAGAGAAAGCAUCGGCUAACUCCGUGCCAGCAGCCGCGGUAAUACGGAGGAUGCGAGCGUUAUCCGGAUUUAUUGGGUUUAAAGGGUGCGCGGGCGGACUGUUAAGUCAGCGGUAAAAUGUCGGUGCUCAACACCGGCCGGCCGUUGAAACUGGCAGCCUUGAGUGAGCGAGAAGUAUGCGGAAUGCGUGGUGUAGCGGUGAAAUGCAUAGAUAUCACGCAGAACUCCGAUUGCGAAGGCAGCAUACCGGCGCUCAACUGACGCUCAGGCACGAAAGCGUGGGUAUCGAACAGGCUUAGAUACCCUGGUAGUCCACGCAGUAAACGAUGAAUGCUCACUGUCCGGGCCGUUUAAGGCCUGGGUGGUCAAGCGAAAGCGUUAAGCAUUCCACCUGGGGAGUACGCCGGCAACGGUGAAACUCAAAGGAAUUGACGGGGGCCCGCACAAGCGGAGGAACAUGUGGUUUAAUUCGAUGAUACGCGAGGAACCUUACCCGGGCUCAAACGGAAGGGGACAGUAUGAGAAAUCAUACAUUCCUUCGGGACCGCUUCCGAGGUGCUGCAUGGUUGUCGUCAGCUCGUGCCGUGAGGUGUCGGCUUAAGUGCCAUAACGAGCGCAACCCCUAUCGACAGUUGCUAGCAGGUAAAGCUGAGGACUCUGUCGAGACUGCCGGCGCAAGCUGUGAGGAAGGCGGGGAUGACGUCAAAUCAGCACGGCCCUUACGUCCGGGGCGACACACGUGUUACAAUGGCAGGUACAGCGGGAGGCCACCCGGCGACGGGGCGCAGAACCCGAAAACCUGUCUCAGUUCGGAUUGGAGUCUGCAACCCGACUCCAUGAAGCUGGAAAGGCUAGUAAUCGCGCAUCAGCCACGGCGCGG
rnacentral:rRNA from 1 species